UAAACAUUGAUAGCACCUCACAUUCGCUAUCCGCCCGGGAACUACGAGCAGUAGCUUAAAACCCAAAGGACUUGGCGGUGCUUAAGAUCCACCUAGAGGAGCCUGUUCUAGAACCGAUAACCCCCGUUCAACCUCACCCUCUCUUGUUUUUCCCGCCUAUAUACCGCCGUCGUCAGCUUACCCUGUGAAGGUUUAAUAGUAAGCAAAAUUGGCAUAGCCCAAAACGUCAGGUCGAGGUGUAGCGUAUGAGAGGGGAAGAAAUGGGCUACAUUUCCUAAAGUAGGAAAUACGGAUAUUGCACUGAAAUGUGCAUUUGAAGGAGGAUUUAACAGUAAGCAGAAAAUAGAGCGUCCUGCUGAAACUGGCCCUGAAGCGCGCACACACCGCCCGUCACUCUCCCCGAACAUCAACCUCAACAUAAUUAAUAAUCCAUAACUACAAAGGGGAGGCAAGUCGUAACAUGGUAAGUGUACCGGAAGGUGUACUUGGAAAAAU
rnacentral:rRNA from 1 species